AAGACCUUGCGCUUUUGGAGCGGCCGAUGCCUGAUUAGCUUGUUGGUAAGGUAAAAGCUUACCAAGGCUUCGAUCAGUAGCUGGUCUGAGAGGACGACCAGCCACACUGGGACUGAGACACGGCCCAGACUCCUACGGGAGGCAGCAGUGGGGAAUUUUGGACAAUGGGGGCAACCCUGAUCCAGCCAUGCCGCGUGAGUGAAGAAGGCCUUCGGGUUGUAAAGCUCUUUCAGCCGGAACGAAACGGUUACGGUUAAUACCCAUGACUACUGACGGUACCGGAAGAAGAGGCACCGGCUAACUACGUGCCAGCAGCCGCGGUAAUACGUAGGGUGCGAGCGUUAAUCGGAAUUACUGGGCGUAAAGCGUGCGCAGGUGGUUUUGUAAGUCAGAUGUGAAAGCCCCGGGCUCAACCUGGGAACU
rnacentral:rRNA from 1 species